AGGCCCAGAGAGAGAGGCAGGGUCUGAUCCGCAGCUUCCGUGGCAGCUGUUGAUCAGCCCUUGCCUCUCCUCUCCAGGCU
rfam:Myotis davidii contig149085, whole genome shotgun sequence.